rnacentral:rRNA from 1 species
GACGAACGCUGGCGGCGUGCCUAAUACAUGCAAGUUGAGCGCUGAAGGUUGGUACUUGUCCCGACUGGAUGAGCAGCGAACGGGUGAGUAACGCGUGGGGAAUCUGCCUUUGAGCGGGGGACAACAUUUGGAAACGAAUGCUAAUACCGCAUAAAAACUUUAAACACAAGUUUUAAGUUUGAAAGAUGCAAUUGCAUCACUCGAAGAUGAUCCCGCGUUGUAUUAGCUAGUUGGUGAGGUAAAGGCUCACCAAGGCGAUGAUACAUAGCCGACCUGAGAGGGUGAUCGGCCACAUUGGGACUGAGACACGGCCCAAACUCCUACGGGAGGCAGCAGUAGGGAAUCUUCGGCAAUGGACGAAAGUCUGACCGAGCAACGCCGCGUGAGUGAAGAAGGGUGUCGGAUCGUAAAACUCUGUUGGUAGAGAAGAACGUUGGUGAGAGUGGAAAGCUCAUCAAGUGACGGUAACUACCCAGAAAGGGACGGCUAACUACGUG